UUUGCUUUGAAUAAUUUAGUAUAUAAUUUAUUUAGUAAUUGUAUGUACAUUUGCUUUAUAUUUACAGGAAGGAGAAAGAUGUUCACUAUGAAUCAAAAAUUCAAUACAUAGGACUUUUAUAUAUCAACAAAAAACACUUGUACAUGUACAUGUGUAUGUGUGAUAUACAUACAACAAGAAAACAGUAAUCAAAUGGAAUGUCAACGACCAGUGUCCAGUAAUGUUGAAAGCAAAAUGAUUUUGAUAGAAAACAAUAGGACUAGAAUAUAUUAAGGGUAAGUAAUCCAAAAGUGUCUGUUUAGGGUAAAAACAGUCAGUUAUUUACAGUGUGCUAUGAUUUCAAUCCCACAAAUAUGAAACAAAAACAUAAUAUACAUGGUAUGCAGACUGUUUUCAUAAGGGAAUAGACUGAAAAUAUCUACAUUUAACAGUCAGACAUAAUUAUAUACUAAAUUAUUCUUUUUUAUAUAUAUUGCCAAUGGAAUAAAUUGAGGAUGGAAAUUAUAAUUAAUGAGAUAUAGGUAAAAGAAUCAUACACAGACUUUAAGGCCGAAUGGUAUUCUUUUAAUAGUUUAAAGAUUUUAUUCUGUUAUCUAUGCUGUAUAAAUGUCAAGAUAGUUAGGGCCCCGCCAAAGGCGGGUCGCCCUAUAGUGAUCAGUCUGUCCGUCCGUCCGUCCGUCCGUCCGUCCGUAACACUUUGUAAUAACUUUGUGUCCGCUCCAUAUCUAGAGAACCAUUAUGAUUUCAUACUUUAUACUUUACAUGUUUAUUAACCACCACCAGAGGGCGUGUCAUGAUGUAUGUACAACUUCCUAGGUCAAAGGUCAAGGUAAAAAAACUUUGGUUUCAGUUGACAACCCUGUGUCCUGUGGUGAAGAUCGUGUCCGCUCUAUAUCUUGAGAACCGUUAUGAUUUCAAAGUUUAUACUUGACAUGUAUAUGAACCAACACCAGAGGGUGUGUCAUAAUUUAUGAACGACUGCCUAGGGCAAAGUUCAAGGUCAAAAACUUUGGUUUCAGUUGACAACCCCAUGUCCUAUGGUAAAGAUUGUGUCCGCUCUAUAUCUUGAGAACCAUUAUCAUUUUAAAGUUUAUACCUGAAAUGUAUAUAAACCAACACCAAAGGGUGUGUCAUAAUUUAUGUGCAACUUCCUAGGUCAAAGGUCAAGGUCAAAAACUUUGGUUUCAGUUGACAACCCCGUGUCCUAUGGUAAAGAUCGUGUCCGCUCUAUAUCUUGAGAACCGUUAUCAUUUCAAAGUUUAUACUUGACAUGUUUUAAACCAACACCAAAGGGUGUGUCAUAAUUUAUUUACAACUUCCUAGGUCAAAGGUCAAGGUCAAAAACUUUGAUUUCAGAUGACAAACCCAUGUCCUAUGGUAAAGAUACAAUUUUUUAAUGCACAUUAUUCACAGCGGGGCCCACAGAGAUGGCUCCCAUCUCAAUGAUAUCUAGUUACAUUUGAUUAAAAAGGAAAGAUUUGGGUAUAAUGUCACAGUCAUUCUGAAAUAAUGAACGUAAUUAGGGUAAUUAUACCCUACUCAACAAACUUGCAAGGUUUUAAUAAAUCUGACCAUUUUUAUACGACCGCAAAAAUUGAAAAUUUUUUGGUCGUAUAUUGGUAUCACGUUGGCAUCGUCGUCCCGAAUACUUUUAGUUUUCGCACUCUAACUUUAGUAAAAGUGAAUAGAAAUCUAUGAAAUUUUAACACAAGGUUUAUGACCACAAAAGGAAGGUUGGGAUUGAUUUUGGAAGUUUUGGUCCCAACAUUUUAGGAAUUAGGGGCCAAAAAGGGCCCAAAUAAGCAUUUUCUUGGUUUUCGCACUAUAACUUUAGUUUAAGUAAAUAGAAAUCUAUGAAAUUUUGACACAAGGUUUAUGACCACAAAAGGAAGGUUGGGAUUGAUUUUGGAGUUUUGGUUCCAACAGUUUAGGAAUUAGGGCCAAAAAAGGGCCCAAAUAAGCAUUAUUCUUGGUUUUCGCACAAUAACUUUAGUAUAAGUAAAUAGAAAUCAAUGAAAUUUAAACACAAGGUUUAUGACCACAAAAGGAAGGUUGGGAUUGAUUUUGGGGAGUUGAGGUCCAACAGUUUAGGAAUUAGGGGCCAAAAAGGGCCCAAAUAAGCAUUUUUCUUGGUUUUCGCACCAUAACUUUAGUAUAAGUAAGUCAAUAGAAAUCUAUGAAAUUUAAACACAAGGUUUAUGACCAUAAAAGGAAGGUUGGGAUUGAUUUUGGGAGUUUUGGUCCAAACAGUUUAGGAAUAAGGGGCCCAAAGGGUCCAAAAUUAAACUUUGUUUGAUUUCAUCAAAAAUUGAAUAAUUGGGGUUCUUUGAUAUGCCGAAUCUAACUGUGUAUGUAGAUUCUUAAAUUUUUGGUCCCUGUUUUCAAAUUGGUCUACAUUAAGGUCCAAAGGGUCCAAAAUUAAACUUAGUUUGAUUUUAACAAAAAUUGAAUCCUUGGACAAGUUGGGGUUCUUUGAUAUGCUGAAUCUAAAAAAAUGUACUUAGAUUUUUGAUUAUUGGCCCAGUUUUCAAGUUGGUCCAAAUCGGGGUCCAAAAUUAAACUUUGUUUGAUUUCAUCAAAAAUUGAAUAAUUGGGGUUCUUUGAUAUGCCAAAUCUAACUGUGUAUGUAGAUUCUUAAUUUUUGGUCCCGUUUUCAAAUUGGUCUACAUUAAAGUCCAAAGGGUCCAAAAUUAAACUAAGUUUGAUUUUAACAAAAAUUGAAUUCUUGGGCUUCUUUGAUAUGCUGAAUCUAAACAUGUACUUAGAUUUUUAUUAUGGGCCCAGUUUUCAAGUUGGUCCAAAUCAGGAUCCAAAAUUAUUAUAUUAAGUAUUGUGCAAUAGCAAGAAAUUUUCAAUUGCACAGUAUUGCGCAAUAGCAAGAAAUCUUCAAUUGCACAGUAUUGUGCAAUAGCAAAUAUUUUCAAUUGCACAGUAUUGCACAAUAGCAAGAAAUAUCUAAUUGCACAAUAUUGUGCAAUAGCAUGAAAUUUUUAAUUGGAGUCUUAUCUUUCUUUUUUCAGAAUAGUAGUUGAAUCAACUUAAAUCAUUGUUUUAUACAAUAUACAAUGUAUAUUCACUUUUACUACCAACUGAUAAAUUAAAACAAUCUUUACCAUUCAGUGAUUACAACAAGCACUUUCUUUACAUUUUAAUAUUUUAUGAUGUAUUUAAAUGAGUAGUUAUUGUUGCAAACUCCAUUAGAAAUUUGAAUUGAGAUCAGUUUUGGAAUAAGGGAAAGGGGGAUGUGAAAAAAAAAUUGGGGAGGGGGGGUAAAUUUUUUUCAUUUCAGAUUUCAUAAAUAAAAAGAAAAUUUCUUCAAACAUUUUUUUGAGAGGAUUAAUAUUCAACAGCAUAGUGAAUUGCUCAAAGGCAAAAAAAAAUUUUAAGUUCAUUAGACCACAUUCAUUCUGUGUCAGAAACCUAUGCUGUGUCAACUAUUUAAUCACAAUCCAAAUUUAGAGCUGAAUCCAGCUUGAAUGUUGUGUCCAUACUUGCCCCAACCGUUCAGGGUUCAACCUCUGCGGUCGUAUAAAGCUGCGCCCUGCGAAGCAUCUGUUUUUUUUAGAUAAGAGAAUGACUUGAGCAGACUGUAUUGAGGUCAUAGAUGGCAAUAACAAUGAAAUACAAUAUAUUAUAAUUAUCAUUGAUUCUUCAUUACUUUUUGAUUGAAUUAACAAACUUAAUUUAAUAACAAAAAAUUUCAUUUUCAGUAGACAACACAUCCUGUCAGAGGAAUAAUUUUACUGGAGGAUAAAAAUUUUGAUACCUGGAAUCAGCAAUUUAUAUGAAAUUUGUUAUGAGAGAUAUAUUCAUGUACAGAAUGGUAUCCGAGGUGGUUCAAGUGAUUAUAAGCGGACUUUUUUGUUGAACUAAUGCAGGAUUUAAUAAAAUGAAAGACUAUGGGCUCCAAAGUUUAGUAACAAGAGGAUUUUUUAAAUAUGUGAGACUCAUCAACAUUAAAAAGUGCAGAAGUGAAAUGUCACCAUAUUUAUUAAAAAAAAUCAGAUUAUUGACUCAGUUGUUUUCAUGAAUAUUUUGUUUUAAGCAAUUUCACUGUUAUAUACUUAAUAAGAUUCCACGUUUAUUUUAUACUUCUGACAACCGAAUAUUAUAUCUUCCCUCUGGCCUCAAGUGUUUCCCUUUUAUUUUGCAUGAGUGUAAUUUAAAAAAGCUCGCUUUUAGUUUUGGGCAAAUUCAAGUUUUGCCAUUCCAGAAUUAUUCGACUUUUUUCCUGGUAAAUUAGACAUGUACCCACAUGUUGUAUUUUGCUUUGGUACUUUUUCAAGAAAUUGUGGAUCAAGGCUGAAUUUUAUCAAAUAAGAUCAUUUUUGGAUAUUUAUCACAUAUCACAUACUUGAAUAAUCUUUAAAAUUGAGAAUAUAGAUGGGCAAUGUGUCAAAGAG
rnacentral:lncRNA from 1 species